UAAUGGCCCACCAAGACGAUGAUCGGUAUCCGGCCUGAGAGGGCGCACGGACACACUGGAACUGAAACACGGACAAAACUCCUACGGGAGGCAGCAGUGGGGAAUUUUGCGCAAUGGGGGAAACCCUGACGCAGCAACGCCGCGUGGAGGAUGAAGUACUUCGGUACGUAAACUCCUUUCGAUCGGGACGAUAAUGACGGUACCGAGAGAAGAAGCCCCGGCUAACUUCGUGCCAGCAGCCGCGGUAAUACGAGGGGGGCGAGCGUUGUUCGGAAUUAUUGGGCGUAAAGGGUGCGUAGGCGGUUUGGUAAGUCUCGUGUGAAAUCUAUGGGCUCAACUCAUAUUCUGCACGAGAAACUGCCGGGCUUGAGUGUGGGAGAGGUGAGUGGUAUUUUCCCGUGUACCCGUCAAAAUG
rnacentral:rRNA from 1 species